GAGAAUUCUGAUAGCGAAACGACGAAGGAGAAAGGGAACGGAACGACGUAGGAGAAGGGAAUUUCGGUGAGAGAGAGGAGAUUCUAGAAACUAAGUGGGAAGACCUGAGGAGUGCUGAAGAAGAAGAAUAAGGAGAAUUUGAACUGAUAGGGACAUAUCCACAAAGCGGCGUAGCAUCUCCUCUGGAGUGCCAAGUGGAACUCUCCUUUGUUGCGCUUUCUAGUGACUUCAUGCAAGUCCUACUCCCAGACAUGGAGCGUGCGUGCACCGACAAGAGUUUCACCCUCCGCCGUGAAUGCAUGGUAACGGACUAAUCCGUUUCAAUUCCAAAAUUUGAUAAUCAGUUUCAAUUCAAGUUCGAAACUCAACCCGAACAUAAGAUGUGUCUAUGGUAGUUAUCAUUUUAAUUUGUUGAUUUAAUGUAUGUAUGUGAUAUUAAAUUUUAAAUAAAUAUAGCAUAGUUAAAUGCGUGAAGAACUAAAUUAUUAAUAAAAAUUUAUAUUUA